GAUGAACGCUGGCUACAGGCUUAACACAUGCAAGUCGAGGGGAAACGACGGGGAAGCUUGCUUCCCCGGGCGUCGACCGGCGCACGGGUGAGUAACGCGUAUCCAACCUGCCUCUGACUGAGGGAUAACCCGUCGAAAGUCGGCCUAAUACCUCAUGGCAUCGUCUGCGGGCAUCCAACGACGAUUAAAGAUUUCAUCGGUCAGGGAUGGGGAUGCGUCUGAUUAGCUAGUUGGCGGGGUAACGGCCCACCAAGGCGACGAUCAGUAGGGGUUCUGAGAGGAAGGUCCCCCACAUUGGAACUGAGACACGGUCCAAACUCCUACGGGAGGCAGCAGUGAGGAAUAUUGGUCAAGGGGCGAGAGCCUGAACCAGCCAAGUAGCGUGCAGGAUGACGGCCCUAUGGGUUGUAAACUGCUUUUAUGCGGGGAUAAAGUGAGGGACGUGUCCUUCAUUGCAGGUACCGCAUGAAUAAGGACCGGCUAAUUCCGUG
rnacentral:rRNA from 1 species